CCUACGGGCGGCAGCAGUGGGGAAUAUUGCACAAUGGGGGAAACUCUGAUGCAGCGACGCCGCGUGAGUGAAGAAGUAUCUCGGUAUGUUAAGCUCCAUCAGUAGGGAAGUUAAUGACGGUACCUGACCAAGAAGCCCCGGCUAACUACGUGCCAGCAGCCGUGGUAAUACGGAGGGGGCAAGCGUUAUCCGGAUUUACUGGGUGUAAAGGGAGCGUAGACGGCAGGACAAGUCAGUAGUGAAAUCCCGGGGCUUAACCCCGGAACUGCUUUUGAAACUGUGCGGCUGGAGUGCAGGCGGGGUAAGCGGAAUUCCUAGUGUAGCGGUGAAAUGCGUAGAUAUUAGGAGGAACACCGAUGGCGAAGGCAGCUUACUAAACUGUAACUGACGUUGAGGCUCGAAAGCGUGGGUAGCAAACAGGAUUAGAUACCCCUGUAGUC
rnacentral:rRNA from 1 species